UAGGGAAUCUUCGGCAAUGGGGGGAACCCUGACCGAGCAACGCCGCGUGAGUGAAGAAGGUUUUCGGAUCGUAAAGCUCUGUUGUUAAGGAAGAACGAGUGUGAGAAUGGAAAGUUCAUACUGUGACGGUACUUAACCAGAAAGGGACGGCUAACUACGUGCCAGCAGCCGCGGUAAUACGUAGGUCCCGAGCGUUGUCCGGAUUUAUUGGGCGUAAAGCGAGCGCAGGCGGUUAGAUAAGUCUGAAGUUAAAGGCAGUGGCUCAACCAUUGUAGGCUUUGGAAACUGGUUAACUUGAGUGCAGAAGGGGAGAGUGGAAUUCCAUGUGUAGCGGUGAAAUGCGUGGAUAUAUGGAGGAACACCGGUGGCGAAAGCGGCUCUCUGGUCUGUAACUGACGCAGAGGCUUGAAAGCGUGGGGAGCGAACAGG
rnacentral:rRNA from 1 species